rnacentral:rRNA from 1 species
CCUACGGGAGGCAGCAGUGGGGAAUAUUGCACAAUGGGGGAAACCCUGAUGCAGCGACGCCGCGUGAGUGAAGAAGUAUUUCGGUGUGUAAAGCCCUAUCAGCAGGAACGAGACAAGACGGUACCUGACUCAGAAGCCCCGGCUAACUACGUGCCAGCAGCCGCGGUAAUACGUAGGGGCCAAGCGUUACCCGGAAUCACUGGGGGUAAAGGGAGCGUAGACGGCUGAGCAAGUCAGAUGUGAAAACUCAGGGCUCAACCCUGAGCCUGCAUUUGAAACUGUUUUUCUUGAGUGCUGGAGAGGCAAUCGGAAUUCCGUGUGUAGCGGUGAAAUGCGUAGAUAUACGGAGGAACACCAGUGGCGAAGGCGGAUUGCUGGACAGUAACUGACGCUGAGGCGCGAAAGCGUGGGGAGCAAACAGGAUUAGAUACCCCUGUAGUC